GACGAACGCUGGCGGCGUGCUUAACACAUGCAAGUCGAACGGUGAAGCGCCUUCCUUUUUGGUGGGUGUGGAUGAGUGGCGAACGGGUGAGUAACACGUGAGUAACCUGCCCCCUUCUUCUGGAUAACCGCAUGAAAGUGUGGCUAAUACGGGAUAUUCUGGGUCUGUCGCAUGAUGGGUCUGGGAAAGAUAUUGUUUCGGUGGGGGAUGGGCUCGCGGCCUAUCAGCUUGUUGGUGGGGUGAUGGCUUACCAAGGCGGUGACGGGUAGCCGGCCUGAGAGGGUGGACGGUCACACUGGGGCUGAGACACGGCCCAGACUCCUACGGGAGGCAGCAGUGGGGAAUAUUGCACAAUGGGCGCAAGCCUGAUGCAGCGACGCCGCGUGAGGGAUGGAGGCCUUCGGGUUGUGAACCUCUUUCGCCAGUGAAGCAGGCCUGCCUCGUUUGUGGGUGGGUUGACGGUAGCUGGAUAAGAAGCGCCGGCUAACUACGUG
rnacentral:rRNA from 1 species